AACGAACGCUGGCGGCAUGCCUAACACAUGCAAGUCGAACGAGACCUUCGGGUCUAGUGGCGCACGGGUGCGUAACGCGUGGGAACCUGCCCUUAGGUUCGGAAUAACUCCCCGAAAGGGGUGCUAAUACCGGAUAAUGUCUUCGGACCAAAGAUUUAUCGCCUUUGGAUGGGCCCGCGUUGGAUUAGCUAGUUGGUAGGGUAAAAGCCUACCAAGGCGACGUUCCAUAGCUGGUCUGAGAGGAUGAUCAGCCACACUGGGACUGAGACACGGCCCAGACCCGUACGGGAGGCAGCAGUGGGGAAUAUUGGACAAGGGGCGAAAGCCUGAUCCAGCAAUGCCGCGUGAGUGAUGAAGGCCUUAGGGUUGUAAAGCUCUUUUACACGGGAUGAUAAUGACAGUACCGGGAGAAUAAGCUCCGGCUAACUCCGUG
rnacentral:rRNA from 1 species